rnacentral:rRNA from 1 species
GAGGAAAAGGAACCAACAGGGAUUGCCCCAGUAACGGCGAGUGAAGCGGCAACAGCUCAAAUUUGAAAUCUGGUCCCCAGGGCCCGAGUUGUAAUUUGCAGAGGAUGCUUUUGGUGAGGUGCCUUCCGAGUUCCCUGGAACGGGACGCCAUAGAGGGUGAGAGCCCCGUCUGGUUGGAUACCGAGCCUCUGUAAAGCUCCUUCGACGAGUCGAGUAGUUUGGGAAUGCUGCUCUAAAUGGGAGGUAUAUGUCUUCUAAAGCUAAAUAUUGGCCAGAGACCGAUAGCGCACAAGUAGAGUGAUCGAAAGAUGAAAAGCACUUUGAAAAGAGGGUUAAAUAGUACGUGAAAUUGUUGAAAGGGAAGCACUUAUGACCAGACUUGGCCCCGGUGAAUCAUCCAGCGGUUCCCGUUGGUGCACUUUGCCGGGGUUCAGGCCAGCAUCAGUUCGCUCCGGGGGAUAAAGGCUUUGGGAAUGUGGCUCCCUCGGGAGUGUUAUAGCCCAUUGCGCAAUACCCUGUGGCGGGCUGAGGUUCGCGC